rnacentral:rRNA from 1 species
UACGAAGGGGGCUAGCGUUGCUCGGAAUCACUGGGCGUAAAGCGCACGUAGGCGGCUUUCUAAGUCAGGGGUGAAAUCCUGGAGCUCAACUCCAGAACUGCCUUUGAUACUGGAGAGCUUGAGUCCGGGAGAGGUGAGUGGAACUCCGAGUGUAGAGGUGAAAUUCGUAGAUAUUCGGAAGAACACCAGUGGCGAAGGCGGCUCACUGGUCCGGUACUGACGCUGAGGUGCGAAAAGCGUGGGGAGCAAACAGGG